rnacentral:tRNA from 1 species
GAGAAUUUAGUUAAAUAAAUAAUAUAAGUUUGUCAUACUUAAGUUGUCUUUUUAGACAUUUCUUU